UUGCAGAAGAACGAAAGGUGCUUGAUGAGAAGAUGGGCAUAGGAGAGGCAGGGAAAUCGAAGAAGCUUUUGAAAUGGGCCAUCAAUGCAUCCAUGUGUGGACGGAUCAUUGGUACUGGUGGCAAAAUUGCACGCCGGAUUUAUGAGGAAACUGGAUCUCACAUUCAAAUUGGCCCAGAACAUGAACUUCCUUCCCAAUCGGGAGAAAGGGUUGUCUACAUCACAGGGGAUGAUGAGUCCAAUGAGAAAGCACGUAAACAGAUUGAGGACAAGGUUGGCGGGCGCCCUCCUUCCUCUGACGCAAAGGACCGUGGGACCAAAUACAUGGUGCCAUCGCGCAGUG
rnacentral:ribozyme from 1 species